GACGAACGCUGGCGGCGCGCUUAACACAUGCAAGUCGAGCGAGAACCUGGGCUUCGGCCCUGGGGACAGCGGCGAACGGGUGAGUAACACGUAGGUAAUCUGCCCUUGACAUCGGGAUAGCCCGGGGAAACCCGGAUUAAUACCGAAUAGCCUCCGGAGCCCUCGGGCGCCGGAGAAAAGGUAGCUUCGGCCUCUGGGCGAGGAUGAGCCCGCGGCGGAUUAGCUUGUUGGCGGGGUAACGGCCCACCAAGGCGACGAUCCGUAGCUGGUCUGAGAGGACGAUCAGCCACACUGGGACUGAGACACGGCCCAGACUCCUACGGGAGGCAGCAGUGGGGAAUCUUGCGCAAAUGCGGGAAACCGUGACGCAGCAACGCCGCGUGGGGGAAGAAGGCCUUCGGGUUGUAAACCUCUUUCAGGAGGGACGAAGCUACUCGGGUUAAUAGCCCAGAGGGUGACGGUACCUCCAGAAGAAGCCCCGGCUAACUACGUGCCAGCCGCCGCAGUAA
rnacentral:rRNA from 1 species